rnacentral:lncRNA from 1 species
GGUGGAGUGUUAGCAGCUGAACAGCCGCAGUGCUAUUUAAACUCGGGUCCUAAAAGACACAUUACUGUUGGACUGUCAGAGAGAGCAGACCACUUAUCUCUGGAAACAUGAUCAUUUUUAUCAUCAUCGGCGUCGUUGCAGUCAUCAUUCUGAUAUCCGUCUGUGUGUGCUGUGCUCGCAAGAAAUCUAGGAGUCAAGACCGUGGACAUGCUGACAAUCAUGAUCACUGUAGCAAUAGAGAAAUGGUGCAGAUUGUUCCUGUGGUUACACCAUUUCAACCUGGGGUGAACAUGCCUGCUGCACCUGUAAUGCACCUUCAGGGUCAUCAUCCUGCCUAUGUUCUAUAAACCAAAAAAAACCCUUCUUAACCCUUGUGUGGUAUUCGGGUCUGUGACAUAUAUCAAAACACAUUUUCGAUAAACACACUCUGUACCAAGGGCUAAUAAACAUUGCUUCAUUUGUAAAUUUUAAACUAAA